AGCGAACGCUGGCGGCAGGCUUAACACAUGCAAGUCGAGCGGGCACUUCGGUGUCAGCGGCAGACGGGUGAGUAACACGUGGGAACGUACCCUUCUGAUCGGAAUAACGCUGGGAAACUAGCGCUAAUACCGGAUACGCCCUUUUGGGGAAAGGUUUACUGCCGAAGGAUCGGCCCGCGUCUGAUUAGCUAGUUGGUGGGGUAAUGGCCUACCAAGGCGACGGUCAGUAGCUGGUCUGAGAGGAUGAUCAGCCACACUGGGACUGAGACACGGACCAGACUCCGACGGGAGGGAGCAGUGGGGAAUAUUGGACAAGGGGCGCAAGCCUGAUGAAGCCAUGCCGCGUGAGUGAUGAAGGCGUUAGGGUUGUAAAGCUCUUUUGUCCGGGACGAUAAUGACGGUACCGGAAGAAUAAGCACCGGCUAACUUCGUG
rnacentral:rRNA from 1 species